GGAGUGGNNUGUACCAGAAGUAGAUAGCUUAACCGUAAGGGGGGCGUUUACCACGGUAUGAUUCAUGACUGGGGUGAAGUCGUAACAAGGUAACCGUAGGGGAACCUGCGGUUGGAUCACCUCCUUACCUAUAGCGAGCGAUAGCAAGUGUNCACACAG
rnacentral:misc_RNA from 1 species